rnacentral:rRNA from 1 species
GGCUCGAAAGAGAGCCGUAACACAGGUGCUGCAUGGCUGUCGUCAGCUCGUGUCGUGAGAUGUUGGUUAAGUCCCGCAACGAGCGCAACCCUUGUCAUUAGUUGCUACAUUCAGUUGGGCACUCUAAUGAGACUGCCGGUGACAAGCCGGAGGAAGGUGGGGAUGACGUCAAGUCCUCAUGGCCCUUAUAGGUGGGGCUACACACGUCAUACAAUGGCCGGUACAAAGGGCAGCCAACCCGCGAGGGGGAGCCAAUCCCAUAAAGCCAGUCGUAGUCCGGAUCGUAGUCUGCAACUCGACUACGUGAAGUCGGAAUCGCUAGUAAUCGUGGAUCAGAAUGUCACGGUGAAUACGUUCCCGGGUCUU